rnacentral:rRNA from 1 species
UACGAAGGUGGCAAGCGUUGUUCGGAUUUACUGGGCGUACAGGGAGCGUAGGUGGUUCGUUAAGUCUGAUGUGAAAGCCCUGGGCUCAACCUGGGAAUGGCAUUGGAUACUGGCGACCUAGAGUGCGGUAGAGGGGUGUGGAAUUCCCGGUGUAGCAGUGAAAUGCGUAGAUAUCGGGAGGAACAUCUGUGGCGAAGGCGACACCCUGGACCAGCACUGACACUGAGGCACGAAAGCGUGGGGAGCAAACAGG